UAAAGGGUACGUAGGCGGCUGGUCAAGUCUGGGGUCAAAGGCCACAGCUCAACUGUGGGAAGGCCCUGGAAACUGACCGGCUAGAGUAGGUAGGGGUUGCGGGAAUUCCCGGUGUAGCGGUGAAAUGCGUAGAGAUCGGGAAGAACACCUGAGGCGGAAGCGCGCAACUGGGCCUCAACUGACGCUGAGGUACGAAAGCUAGGGGAGCGAAUGGGAUUAGAUACCCCAGUAGUCCUAGCCGUAAACGAUGGACACUAGACGUUGGCCGAUCGACCCGGUCAGUGUCGGAGCUAACGCGUUAAGUGUCCCGCCUGGGGAGUACGCACGCAAGUGUGAAACUCAAAGGAAUUGACGGGGGCCCGCACAAGCGGUGGAGCAUGUGGUUUAAUUCGAUGCAACGCGAAGAACCUUACCAGGGCUUGACAUGCCGCGAACCCUGCGGAAACGUGGGGGUGCCUUCGGGAGCGUGGACACCGGUUGCAUGGCUGUCGUCAGCUCGUGUCGUGAGAUGUUGGGUUAAGUCCCGCAACGAGCGCAACCCUUGUUCCUAGUUGCCAGCAUUGAGUUGGGCACUCUAGGGAGACUGCCGGUGACAAACCGGAGGAAGGUGAGGAUGACGUCAAGUCAGCAUGCCCCUUACGCUCUGGGCUACACACGUGCUACAAUGGCGCGGACAAAGGGUCGCGAGCGCGCGAGCGUGAGCCAAUCCCAAAAACCGCGUCUCAGUUCAGAUCGCAGGCUGCAACUCGC
rnacentral:rRNA from 1 species